rnacentral:rRNA from 1 species
GAGAACCCGAAGAUCGAAUGAGAGACUCAUCGUCAGCGGAAUCGACUUACGUGUGGUUCGCGAUGAUUGUAACUGUUCUCGUAACAUAUUACGUCACGCGUCCUCUGCGUAUGUUCGUUUACGUCGGCGUGCACUUCUCCUCUAGUAGAACGUCGCGACCCGCUGGGUGUGGUUUAAGGACCGGUGUCGUAGACUGUUCCUGCGUUUCGACGUAAGGCAACAGACGCCCGGAUUCCCGAUCGACUGCCCGGCGGUAUAAGCAAAGGUAUUGAGCCGCACCUUGUGUGCGUUCAGGCCCGUCGCAMGCUCGAUUAUCGCUCGGAUUACGGACCAAGUGCCGUACCCGGGACUGAUCACCUGUUGGUCGACGGUGCCCUCCAACAGGCUUAUUGUGUCGAAAGAUUAUUAAUUUUUUUUAAUAAUAUACCUAUCGGCGACGCUUUUGCUUKGGGUACUUUCAGGACCCGUCUUGAAACACGGCCCAAGGAGUCUAACAUGUGCGCGASUCAUUGGGAUAUGUAAAACMUAAAGGCGCAUUUAAUGAGAAAUUGAUUGCCCUCGGUCUUUCAAAGGGAGGAUGGGUUGCGUUGAGAUGCAACUUCGCACUCCCGGGGCGUCUCACGUUCUUUUUAAGAAUCAAGAGGCGCACCAAGAGCGUACACGUUGGGACCCGAAAGAUGGUGAACUAUGCCUGGUCAGGACGAAGUCAGGGGAAACCCUGAUGGAGGUCCGUAGCGAUUCUGACGUGCAAAUCGAUCGUCGGAACUGGGUAUAGGG